ensembl:lncRNA
CACACACACACCCAAACACACACACACACACACACACACUCACAGUAAGGAAGCCUUGAGCCUCCACACCCUUCCCUUGUUCUGAGUGGCCGGCCACCCUGAAUGCCUGGCUGUCACUGAGAGAAAGGCUGUGAUUCACUCUGACUCUCACACAGUCCUCGGCACACUGCCCCCUGGCUGCCAGCUGUGGUACUACAUGCAGGCUGGAGUGGAGGACUUUUUUUAAUUCUGCCCUGCGCCCUGCUGAGUUUUCCUUCUCUGUGCAGAUGCAUUGUGGGAUACCAAGCUCUACGUUGUGUUAUUAUGUAUGUUGUGUGUUAAUAUCAUAGUCUCUGAUUACGCAUGGUGCUGUGAGUCACAGAGGAGUUGUGAGUUAGAGAGAAUGUGUGUGUUGUGUCUGCAGAGACUUGGUGCUGUGAGUUAGAGAGGAGUUGUGAGUUGUGUGUAUUAAUAUUAUAAAGGUAUUCGCAGUUGCGUUGUGUGUUAAUAUCAUAAAGGUAUUCGCAGUUGCGUUGUGUGUUAAUAUCAUAAAGGUAUUCGCAGUUGUGUUGUUUGUUAAUAUCAUAAAGGUAUUCGCAGUUGCGUUGUGUGUUAAUAUCGUAAAGGUAUUCGCAGUUGCGUUGUGUGUUAAUAUCGUAAAGGUAUUCGCAGCGGUGGCUGUUCUCAGCCAGUGAAUAUUCAUGGCCAGUCUUUGCUGGGCUGCGGCAUCAAUUAUAUAUGGGAGCCAUUUUUAUAUUUUAUUUUAUUUAAUUUUUUUCCCCCAAGGCUGUUCUACAUAGCCAGCCACAAAGCUCACCCAGUCUGCUUUCUCGCUUGUCCCGCCAUGGGGGGUCCCUUCACACACACACACAGACACACACACACACUCACACAGACACACACACUCAUGCAGUUUGAGGAGUCUCCCGCGAGGCCUGGGGGUGGCAGGGGAGGGG